AGGCUGUCUCCACCCGAGACUCAGUGAAAUUGAACUCGCUGUGAAGAUGCAGUGUACCCGCGGCAAGACGGAAAGACCCCGUGAACCUUUACUAUAGCUUGACACUGAACAUUGAGCCUUGAUGUGUAGGANUAGGUGGGAGGCUUUGAAGCGUGGACGCCAGUCUGCGUGGAGCCAACCUUGAAAUACCACCCUUUAAUGUUUGAUGUUCUAACGUUGGCCCNUGACCGGGGUUGCGGACAGUGUCUGGUGGGUAGUUUGACUGGGGCGGUCUCCUCCCAAAGCGUAACGGAGGAGCACGAAGGUUAGCUAAUCCUGGUCGGACAUCAGGAGGUUAGUGCAAUGGCAUAAGCUAGCUUGACUGCGAGCGUGACGGCGCGAGCAGGUGCGAAAGCAGGUCAUAGUGAUCCGGUGGUUCUGAAUGGAAGGGCCAUCGCUCAACGGAUAAAAGGUACUCCGGGGAUAACAGGCUGAUACCGCCCAAGAGUUCAUAUCGACGGCGGUGUUUGGCACCUCGANUGUCGGCUCNAUCACAUCCUGGGGCUGAAGUAGGUCCCAAGGGUAUGGCUGUUCGCCAUUUAAAGUGGUACGCGAGCUGGGUUUAGAACGUCGUGAGACAGUUCGGUCCCUAUCUGCCGUNGGGCGCUGGNAGAAUUGAGGGGGGCUGCUCCUAGUACGNAGAGGACCGGAGUGGACGCAUCACUGGUGUUCGGGUUGUCAUGCCAAUGGCACUGCCCGGUAGCUAAAUGCGGAAGAGAUAAGUGCUGAAAGCAUCUAAGCACGAAACUUGCCCCGAGAUGAGUUCUCCCUGAGACUUUAAGUCUCCUGAAGGAACGUUGAAGACGACGACGUUGAUAGGCCGGGUGUGUAAGCGCAGCGAUGCGUUGAGCUAACCGGUACUAAUGAACCGUGAGGCUUAACCUUACAACGCCGAAG
rnacentral:rRNA from 1 species